UGGGCGCGCGAGGGGAGCGAGGGGUGAGCUCCCCUCUUCUCCCAUGUCCCCGCCGGCGAUCCAUCCGGCGCGGCGCGGCGCGGCCGGAGAUUGCAGGCGCAGCCGCGGCGGUUCUUUCUCGAAUCAGCGCUUCCUCUCCUCGAAUCAGGUGGUCAAGGACGUGGCGGCGCGGUCGCUGGAGGUUGAAGAAGCUUGAUCGCCUCCUCCAGUACGCUGAGAGGUAUAAACUACAACAAGCAGAAAACAACAUUAGGGUCUCUGCACGCAUGUUUUUCAGCGGUUACGAAAAGCAAAUUUUCUGGCUGUCUCCAACAGUUGGCAUCACAGAAACAAUGUAGUGGCAAGAUAUCACCAUAGAACUCAGCAAUGCCUUCUCGACCUCGGCAGAGGCAUCUCUGCUGAGCAAGCACAUGACAUACUCCAUCACUGCGGCAUCACAAGGCAGUGUGAUCUUUCCAUUGCUUGCGAAACCAAACUCUUCCUGGGACACUCUUAGGAGCUCUCCAAAGACCAUCGUGCUGAGGUACACCAACGGGACCUCGAAACGGCUUCUGUCGGCCGUGUACAUGAUGCAGUGGCCCCUUACCACUCCAGAGGUGCAGCAUUCUUCAUAUUCUUUGGCUGUCACUGUGAGCCUCUUCCUCCCAAGUGCCGCCACCCUCUGCUACUUCUUUGCCAGUUGAGCAAGUCUCUUCGUGCUAAUCAUGGUUGGUUCUGGGUCUUGUAUUUUCAGCUCCAGAGAAAGUGAGCUAUGGGUGUUGUAGUGCUCAGUUGGUGGUGGAUUAGCUGAUGAAGUGAUGGUAUUGAGCUUUGCCGCUCCCUGAAUUUAUAGGCAAGGUGAAGGGCAUUGUGCUGGUGAAGAGUAGUUGUCACUGUGAAGAGUUGGCCAGGGACAAGGCCAUGUGAUCACUUUGGAGUAGAUUGUGAUGGGGCCAAAUGUUUGGGGCAUGCUGGAGCCAAUAGUGGUAGCAAUAGCAUCAUGGCACGAUCUAUUCUGCGAUGCAGAUAUGGAUGGAUUCAGUUGAGAUAUCAUCAGUUUCGCACAUCAUGCUAUUAUUUUGGAGCUCCAAAUUGACACUUGACCAGCUGAAAGGAAAAGAAAGUGUGUCGGACUAAUGAUCAGGAACUUGUUCAUGGUCUUACCAGUCGCCAUUGAACCUUCAGUCUCAGAUGUGUUGUUGAUCAGUCGGAUGGUGUGCAUGCCUGAAUUAACUUGCUCGACAGAUGUUGCUGUUUGUUCACUUCGUGAUCUGCUCCAUGCAUGUCUGGUCUCCAGUCCAGCAUCUCAUGUGGUCUUCAUUUCAUUGUUGCUUCCACCAUUUGGAGUCUAAGUUAGAAAGGAAAGAACUCUAUUUCAAAAGGUAUGUAUUGUAAUUUUUCUCUAAAAAACCAGUGUAAUUUUUGUCCAAAGUUGUACCUUGUUUAGCUAGGAGGGUCAAGUGUUCUGCAACUUGCCAUAAAUUACUGAAUCUGUAGCUGGCUGUUUCUGCUGUGUGUUGUUUAAUGGAAGUUUUCCUUCGGAAA